rnacentral:lncRNA from 1 species
GAGCGAACCCAAGAAAUGGAGGAGAAGGCCAAGGAGGCUGCUGAGAAAGCAAAGCACAGGACUGAAAGCGUGGCUGAAAGGGCAGCUGAGAAGGCCAAAGAAGGGAAAGACUGGGCAGCGGAUACAGCGCAAGAAACUAAAGAGAAGGCCAAGGAUAGAGCUGAUGAAAUGAAGGAGAAGACUGAAGACACGGCUUAUGAAAUGAAGGAGAAGACUAAGGGGACGGCCGAAACGGUGGCCGAGAAGACGAAGGAAGGGGCGUAUAAGGUGGUGGAAACGGCCGAGACUGUUGGGGAGAAGGCUAAGCAGACUAUGAAGGAUGCUUGGGGAGCUGCAAAGGAGACUACUCAGAAGAUUAAAGAAACUGUGGUUGGCAAGGAUGAUGAUGAUGAUAAGGACCGUGUUGAAGAUUUCAUGGAAGAUCAUGUUAGGAAGCCUGCUAGAAAGCACAGGGAUAUCCCUGUCACUGAGGCACCUAAGGGAGAGCACCCUGACGGUGUGACAAUGGAUGAAGAUGUUGUGGAGCUGAGGAGGAAAGCAGGGCAGCAUGAUCAUCA